rnacentral:rRNA from 1 species
UGGGGAAUUUUGGACAAUGGGGGAAACCCGUGAUCCAGCCAUCCCGCGUGUGCGAUGAAGGCCUUCGGGUUGUAAAGCACUUUUGGCAGGAAAGAAACGUCGCGGGUUAAUACCCCGCGAAACUGACGGUACCUGCAGAAUAAGCACCGGCUAACUACGUGCCAGCAGCCGCGGUAAUACGUAGGGUGCAAGCGUUAAUCGGAAUUACUGGGCGUAAAGCGUGCGCAGGCGGUUCGGAAAGAAAGAUGUGAAAUCCCAGAGCUUAACUUUGGAACUGCAUUUUUAACUACCGGGCUAGAGUGUGUCAGAGGGAGGUGGAAUUCCGCGUGUAGCAGUGAAAUGCGUAGAUAUGCGGAGGAACACCGAUGGCGAAGGCAGCCUCCUGGGAUAACACUGACGCUCAUGCACGAAAGCGUGGGGAGCAAACAGGAUUAGAUACCCUGGUAGUCCACGCCCUAAACGAUGUCAACUAGCUGUUGGGGCCUUCGGGCCUUGGUAGCGCAGCUAACGCGUGAAGUUGACCGCCUGGGGAGUACGGUCGCAAGAUUAAAACUCAAAUGAAUUGACGGGG